UUUUGAGCAAAGUGUCGGACAUGUCUUCCUGGCCUUGGGGAAACCCAGCAGGUGGGAGUAGGUGAGAAGUGCCAUCCACCAGACAAUGGGUGGAGAACAGAGCAAUGGACACAUAGCAACAACUAAGCUGAGCCAGGAGGCAGUGGCAACAGAAAAGGAAGCAACUACUCCAGAAUCAACCGCUUCUUCCAGUCAGCCAAGCCAGGCUGAGCACCGCAACAUUCCCCAGAUAUCCCUCGGGGGCAAGAUGGUGGAUGACAUGCGUUUCAUGAUAACUUGCACUAACUGGUAUUGAGCCCUGGGAUGCUGCAGGAGGUCAUGUCGGGGGUGCAUCAGGAAAUGACAGAGUCCAAAGUAUAAAUGUCAAGAGUGGAUUAGAGUUGGUCAACAUCUAAUUCCAGGACUGAAAGCUUGCACCAGUUUGCACAGAGGAGGUUUCACAUGAGGACUGGGGGUCAGGUGUACCACCAGUGUCAUUUUCACCAAUGCCGUCACUCAUAACUGUGACAUCAAUCUAUUUCCUAAUAUUUACAUCAGCUUGUGCAUUUGUAAAUAAAUGGGAUGAAGGUUUGCUGUGUGAUUUGAUUGUCAUUUGGAUGAAAUGAUCUGUCCCAUGACUCAUAACAGAUUCUCUGCUCCCUAAAUUAAAAUUAAGAUUUAACAGUGAAAAAUGUGUUUUCUUCCCAUAACCCUCCUUUUCGAUAAUCUAAUUUCUCGAUUGUACCUGCUUCCACCACAUUCUUAGGCAGUGUAUUCCAAAUCCUAACCACUCAUUGUUUGAAAAUGUUUUUCCUCAUGUUUCCAUUGUUUCUUUUGCCAAUUAUCUUAAUUCUGUGCCCUCUGGUGCUCAAUCCUUCACUAGUGGGAACAAUUUUUCUGUAUAUGUUCUGUUCAGACCCCUCAUGAUUUUGAACCCCUCUGUCAAAUCUCUCAAUCUUUUCUCCAAGGAAAACAGUCCCAACUUCUUCAAUCUAUCUAGGUAACUGAAGUUCCUUAUGCCUGAAACCAUUUUCAUGAAUCUUUUCUGCAGUCAUUCUAAAGCCUUUACAUCCUUCCUAAAGUGUGGCACCCAGAACUGGACACAAUACUCAGUUGAGGCCACACCAGUGUUCUGUACAGGUUUAACAUAACCUCCUUGUUUUUGUACUCUAUGACCCUUCUCAUAAAAGGGAUACUGUAUGUUUUAUUAACCACGCAGUCACCUGUUCUGCUACCUUCAAUGAUUUAUUUACAAAUGCAUGUAGGUCCCUCUGCUUUUGCAACCCCUUUAGAAUUGUAUCUUUUAUAUUGUCUGUCUGCAGUCUUCCUACCAAAAUGAAUCACUUCACGGAUCUCUGCAUUAAAUUGCAUCUGCCCAUUCCACCAACCUGUCUAUGUCCUUUUUAAAGUUUUACACAUUAUCCUCCUCACUCUUCGCCGUGCUUCCAAGUUUCCUUUGGCCUGGAAACUUGAAAUUGUGUUCUGUACACCGAGGUCUAGAUCAUUACGAAUAAUCGGAGAACAGGGGUCUCAACACUGAUCCCUGGGGAACUCCAUUACAAACCUUCCUCCAGUCCAAAAAAACAUCCAUGAGUCACUACUGAGUUUCCUGUCAUCCAGCGAAUUUUGUAACCAUGUUGCUACUGUUUCUUUUAUUGCACAAGUAGACUUUGCUCACAGGUCUGUUGUGCAGCACUUUAUCAAAUGCCUUCUGGAAGUCCAUGUACACCACAUCAACAACAUUACCCACAUCAACCCUUUCUGUUAUUUCUGCAAAGAACUCCAGCAAAUUAGUUAAACUUGAUUUUCCCUAAACAAGUCCCUGUUGGCUUGCCUUAAUAAACCCACAUUUGCUAAGUAACUAACUUUGUUCUGAAUUAUCAUUUCUAGAAGCUUCCCCACCACCAAAGUUAAACUGACUGGCUUGUAGUUGCUGGGCUUAUCUUUACACCCUUUCUUGAACAAGGGUGUAAAGUCUAGUCUUCUGGCAACAUCCCUGAAUCUAUAGAAGUUUGGAAAAUUAUGGCCAGUGCCUCUGCAAUUUCCACUAUAACUUCCCUCAGUAUACUUGGAUGCAUCACAUCCAGUCCUGGUGUUUUAAGUACAGACAGCCGAUCCAAUACCACCUCCUUAUCAAUUUUAAACCCUUCAAGUAUCCGAAUUGCCUCCUCUUUAACAUCUUCCUUGGUAAAGACAGAGACUAAGUAUUCAUUUAAUGCCUCAGCUAUGCCUCAUGCCUCCAGGUGUAAAUCCCCUUUUAGGUCAGUCCUUUUACGAUUUAGAUACCUACAGGUUCCCUUGGAUCCCCUUUUAUGUUAGCUGCCAGUCUCCUUUCAUGCUCUCUCUUUUUGCUUCGCUUAUCUGCUUUUUCAAUUCCCUUCUGAACAUUGUAUACUCAGCUUGUUUCUCGGUUGUAUUACCUAUUUUACAUCUGUCAUAAAUACACUUUUUCUUCUUUA